CGUCCCGCCAGACGGUAUAGUCGGCGGCGUCCACGACGCCGUCGAAGUUGAAGUCGCCGUCGAGCAGGUUGUUCGGGUCAACCGUGACGUC
rnacentral:tRNA from 1 species